rnacentral:rRNA from 1 species
CUCGAACGUAAGAUUGACUGUAGGUGAAAGCUUACAUCUCUUCGGAGCAGUUUUACGAGGUGCUGCAUGGUUGUCGUCAGCUCGUGCCGUGAGGUGUCGGGUUAAGUCCCAUAACGAGCGCAACCCUACCUUUAGUUGCCAUCAGGUUAAGCUGGGGACUCUAAAGGAACUGCCUACGCAAGUAGUGAGGAAGCGGGGAUGACGUCAAAUCAGCACGGCCUUACGUCCAGGGCUACACACGUGCUACAAUGGCCGAUACAGAGGGCAGCUACCUGGUGACAGGAUGCAAGUCUCCAAAGUCGGUCUCAGUUCGGAUCGGAGUCUGCAACCCGACUCCGUGAAGUUGGAUUCGCUAGUAAUCGCGCAUCAGCCAUGGCGCGGUGAAUACGUUCCCGGGCCUU